GCCCAGGCCCCCCUCUGCCCGCCUGCAGCAGGUGCUGCCAGCUCCGGCUUCGGGAUGGGGGCCUCUGCAGCCGCGUCCGUGCCACCCUACGGCAGGCCUGUGACCCACACCCAUUUCCAUGGGCACCCGCCCUACGCUGACCUCCUUGCCCUCCAGAGAGGGCUCAGACCACCGAGAAAACUUCCUACACUCCUUCCAUUCCUUGGAAGGGGGGCAGACCCCCCGGGACUGAGAUGUGCCAGCCGCUGUCUCCCUAUUGAUGCCUGGAUCCUCAAACCACUCGCGAGGGAGAGAAUUCUUGCCACAUCCUUUUAAGGUGGGGAAACUGAGGCUCCACGAGAUUAUGGAGUUUGCCCAGAGACACAGGAGAUCAAACCGAGUCGGGGAUACCACAGCGGCUGGCCUGGAGUGUAACUGGGUAAUGAUGCCAGCUGCCUUGUGCACCCCUGGUGGGUUACUGCAUCCUGCAACGUCGCCUCCACUUUACCGAUGAGCAAACUGAGGCAAGGAGCGCGUCAGUCACAGACCAACAGUGAGAAGCUGGGUCGGAAUUCGAACCGAACCCGAGAGCUGGGGCCUUGCUCCGCCGCUUCCCCAUGGGCCGCGGGCACCCACUUGGGGGCUGGGACGCCCCCGCCGCCGGGCCACUCCAGCCGCGGGGGCCGGCAGAAGCCGGGCCGCCCGCCAGGCUGCCGGGCUGGAUGCCCGGCCGCAUCACGCCGCGAUGGGGAAACUAAGGCUCAGAGGCAAAAUUCUUUGCCAGAGGAUGGGGAGCUCCAAGUUUGAAUCCAAGCAGGGUGUCGUGGGCUCCCAUGCCUCUCUCAGCCAGGUGCAGGCGGAGCCAUCCGGGCCGCGAUCCUACCUGGGAGAACCGGAGCAGAGAUGCUGUACCAGGCUCCCUCCCGGACUGCCAGGCUAUCUGAGGGCAGGGAGAAAGUUCCCAGAAGCCAGUUAUCACUCCGCUCUGGUUCCCCAGGACCUCACCAAGCUGCCCACUGGACCCCUAAUGGGUGGGGAACAGAGCAGGCACCAGCACUAGAGCAGGUGGGGUGCACAUGUGCCUCUCCCGACCCUCUCACCUCCACUGGGAAGUGACCAUCUGUCUGGAAAGGGAUCCCCUCUGCAUCAUUUAAGAAAUAUAUAUAUAUAUAUAUAUAUAAUAUAUAUCGGGGGUGCCUGGGUGGCUCAGUGGGUUAAGCCUCUGCCUUCGGCUCAGGUGGUGAUCUCAGGGUCCUGGGAUGGAGCCCCGCAUCGCAUCACAUCGGGCUCUCUGCACAGUGGGGAACCUGUUUCCUCCUCUCUCUCUCUCUCUGCCUGCCUCUCUGCCUACUUGUGAUCUCUGUCUGGCAAAUAAAUAAAAUCUUAAAAAAAAAAAAAAAGAAA